rnacentral:sRNA from 1 species
UAUAUGGUGAACCCCUGCGCCUACCAGGA